UACGUAGGGGGCCAGCGUUGCUCGGAAUUACUGGGCGUAAAGGGUCCGUAGGCGGUGUAGCAAGUCGCUAGUGAAAUCUCUGGGCUUAACCCAGAGGCUGCUAACGAAACUGCUGUGCUAGAGUGUGAGAGAGGCGAGUGGAAUUACGGGUGUAGCGGUGAAAUGCGUAGAUAUCUGGAGGAACACCGGUGGCGAAGGCGGCGUCCUGGACCAACACUGACACUGAGGAGCGAAAGCCAGGGGAGCAAACGGG
rnacentral:rRNA from 1 species